ACAGCCCGUCGAAAGGCGGAUUAAUGCGGGAUGCAGUCAGAGAGAUGCAUAUAUGUCUGACGAAAGGAUUCGUCCGGUAAGGGAUGGGGAUGCGUCCGAUUAGCUUGACGGCGGGGUAACGGCCCACCGUGGCUACGAUCGGUAGGGGUUCUGAGAGGAAGGUCCCCCACAUUGGAACUGAGACACGGUCCAAACUCCUACGGGAGGCAGCAGUGAGGAAUAUUGGUCAAUGGGCGAGAGCCUGAACCAGCCAAGUAGCGUGCAGGAAGACGGCCCUAUGGGUUGUAAACUGCUUUUGUACGGGAAUAAAGUUGGCCACGUGUGACCAUUUGCAUGUACCGUACGAAUAAGGACCGGCUAAUUCCGUGCCAGCAGCCGCGGUAAUACGGAAGGUCCGGGCGUUAUCCGGAUUUAUUGGGUUUAAAGGGAGCGUAGGCCGUCUCAAAAGCGUGUUGUGAAAUGUCCCGGCUCAACCGGGGAUGUGCAGCGCGAACUGUGAGACUUGAGUGUGCGGAAGGUAUGCGGAAUUCGUGGUGUAGCGGUGAAAUGCAUAGAUAUCACGAAGAACUCCGAUUGCGAAGGCAGCAUGCCGCAGCACCACUGACGCUGAUGCUCGAAGGUGCGGGUAUCGAACAGGAUUAGAUACCCUGGUAGUCCGCACAGUAAACGAUGGAUGCUCGCUGUGAGUCAGUUGUGAUUUGCGGCCAAGCGAAAGCGUUAAGCAUCCCACCUGGGGAGUACGCCGGCAACGGUGAAACUCAAAGGAAUUGACGGGGGCCCGCACAAGCGGAGGAACAUGUGGUUUAAUUCGAUGAUACGCGAGGAACCUUACCCGGGCUUGAAUUGCAGGUGCAUGGACAAGAGAUUGUCCUUUCCUUCGGGACUCCUGUGAAGGUGCUGCAUGGUUGUCGUCAGCUCGUGCCGUGAGGUGUCGGCUUAAGUGCCAUAACGAGCGCAACCCCUCUCCGUAGUUGCCAUCGGUUCGGCCGGGCACUCUGCGGACACUGCCUCCGCAAGGAGUGAGGAAGGUGGGGAUGACGUCAAAUCAGCACGGCCCUUA
rnacentral:rRNA from 1 species